GGGGUUGUGGCUCAGUGGUAGAGUGCUUGCCUAGCAUGCAGGAAGCACUGAGUUCAAUCCUCAGCACCACA
rnacentral:tRNA from 1 species